GGUCGGUUGUUGCUGACUACAGAAAGAUUCUUAUAUGGAGGCAUGUAAAAGCAAGGAAAGUGAAACUUCAGCUAGACCUUGAGUUCAGUUUACAAUAUGAAGAUCCUGAUAUCAACAUCUGAUCUGAUCAACACCUGAUUUUCAUCUGAGCUGCAGAGUACCAACAUGUUACAAAUGAGAAUUUUCCCCACAAAUUCUUUGGACAACCGCACCA